UUGCCUACGGGACGCAGCAGUGGGGAAUAUUGCACAAUGGGGGAAACCCUGAUGCAGCGACGCCGCGUGAGUGAAGAAGUAAUUCGUUACGUAAAGCUCUAUCAGCAGGGAAGAAAAUGACGGUACCUGAGUAAGAAGCCCCGGCUAACUACGUGCCAGCAGCCGCGGUAAUACGUAGGAUGCGAGCGUUAUCCGGAUUUAUUGGGUUUAAAGGGUGCGUAGGCGGAAUAUCAAGUCAGCGGUAAAAAUUCGGGGCUCAACCCCGUCGUGCCGUUGAAACUGAUGUUCUUGAGUGGGCGAGAAGU
rnacentral:rRNA from 1 species